UUUCAGUUCUCGGUAGAACCUUCAGAUGUGGAAGCCAUGGAUACAGAGGGUUAACUUGAGAGAAACGAUUUUCACAAAGAACUUAAAGGUCACCAAAAACAGCAGUGACAAGAUGAUCUCAAGGAACUGUCCGGUCUCAGCUCUGACACCAAGUCACCUUUGUGGGUUGCAUCUUCUCAAACAGCCAGAGCUGGGUAGUGCUGUGGAGUACUUAAGCCUCAAGGGGGCACUCAAAGCUUCCGUACUAGGGACUCAGGAGCAUCGAGCCAGGGCUUGUCCUCUGGAUAUCAGCACAGGCAGGGGAUUUUUGGAGAGAAAUAGGUGUUCCGGUGGAUAGACUGUGCUUAGGAAAAUUAAAUUUCUUUCUGCUAGUCUGGGCAUGUGGGAUAUUGAGAGAUGCAUUUGGGGACUUUGUUGAGGAAUUUUUUUUAACUUCUCAAUUUUUAUAAUUGAAUACAGCAAUUAAAUGCAUCUAUGGUUUUAAAAGUUAA